rnacentral:lncRNA from 1 species
GUGACUUGAGUUCGAAAGGAGAUACUUCCUGGACAACUGCUAUAAAAACAACAACAAAUACUUUUAUUAAUUCGGGGAGCCUGGUCACCAACUGGAUGCUCAGAUGGAACCCUGAGCAGCCCAUGUACAUGGAAGAUCUUUAUUGCAGAGAUCUUCAAACCAGGAAACUGAGGCUAAAGAGUUUAGUAUUCUGCCAAGGCCAGCUAAUAGUUACAGAGCAUGGUUCCAAAUUCAGAGCUGUCGGAAGCUUAAGCCCAUGUGAUGAACCACGAAUGUGAUUUUACCUCAUUUAAGCCUUGCAGCAAACUCUGCCAACUAGUGUGCAUUUACUCCUGCCUCUCCAUGCCUGAAGGAAGGAAUGAAGAGGUCUCUGCUGUCCAUCUGAGCCAGUGACUGGGCUGUCUCUACCAGGCCAGAAUUUGGGGCAGGCAAGAUUUUCAGCAUCCCUAAAAUCACACUAAGAAGAUAAACAUGGAAACAGCUUGGAGCUGCCCUACCCAUAGUGAGGUGGUACUGACUGGAAGACAGCUUAAACGAUUUGGAGAAAAGUGGAAUACAUUAAUCUCAGAAAACUCUACCACCUGUAGAAAGAGAGCUAAAAUGGAGACAACCACAGGCAGUCUAAGAUACGCUGAACUACUACAGAAAAUAAUGCAGCAUGAAGGAAUGCUGGAAGGUAUGGGGUCAGAGCAAGCUGAUGGAGGGUCCUUCAUUUCCAAGCCACGAGUACAGCAGGAUGUAAGGCUUAGUUCAUAAGAACAUCUCCUGAAAGACAAUCUCUAUAAAAACUGUUUCAAUAGAAAGAAUGCAAGAUGUAACUGUUUAAUAAUAGGACUGAUAUUUUAAAAAACAAAUGAACGUAAUAGAAGACUAGAUGGAUGUGCUUCUCAAAGUCCUCUCUGUGGGAGGCUUCAUCCUCACUCUAGAUGUGUUGCCUGUAGCAGCUGUUAUUGAUUACCCGCCCAUAGCCUAUCCAUACUUACUCAUCAUUCCUUUACCUACCAGUGGCAUCCUAUUGGAAGCACCUGCGACUUUCUUAGGGCUUUCUCUUGGCCAAGCAUUGGAAGGCCAGCAGUAUUGAAAAGUUAAUAGUCUUGGAAGCACUGGCCCUCAACUAAUGACAAA